rnacentral:rRNA from 1 species
ACCCCUUAAAACCUGUUACCCGCUUUCGGACUAGGUCGUUACGGCGCACGUCCUACUUCCGGAAUCCCAACAUUUGACGAAAACAUGCCUUGCUUUGCCGAGGAAGAUUAUGUUCCCCGAUUACUGCCAUGGCAUUCUUAUUCGUGGCCGAUUGAUGCACGGUCGUCGGCGCCAUUA